rnacentral:lncRNA from 1 species
GUCAAUUUUUUUUUCUCUUUUUGUGUCUUUCUCUCUCGCUAUUCUCUCUGCUCUAAUUGGUGGCAGUUAGAUCUGUACGAGGAAUUCCCAUGGAGAUGUCCUAAAGAUGGAAUUAGAUACAAGCAAAUUGUAGAAAGGAAGAGGCUAUAGAUGUUUCUAAUUGGACUCAACAAAAAUCUUGACGCUAUUUGAGAGAGAAUUCAAGGAACAAAACCACACCCUUAGCCUUCGAGAAGCAUUCUCUGAUGUUCGACUUAAAGAGAGCAGAAAAAGUCCUUUUUUUUUUUUUUAGUCCGACUACAAGAAAAUAAAUGCAAUAGUUGUGUUUAAAAUUUGCAAUUCAUGGUUUCUUUUUGAUGUCUUUCACUGCUAGGCUGUAUGUUAUAGUAGCCUGUUUUAAAUGGAAGGAAGAAUUGUGUUAAAAAAAAAAGUUCUCUCUGCUCUAAUUUCUUGACAUCUUGUGCAGAUCUUUUGGCUAUGAAUCCUAGGUAUGGUGGAUAGGUUUACCGUUUGUUUCCAUAUCUGCAAGAUGUUUUUGGGCUUUACGAUUUUUUUCUCGUCCUUCUCUUCAUGAUUUCUUUCUUCAGAUCGCAGAACUGGAACCCUAACUUCCAAAAUUUGUAUGCAUUCAAGCAGGUAAAGGUAUAUACUCCCCGAUGAAGUUUGGGAAACAGCUAUGCCUCGAACAUAGCAUUAGCAAAGAAGGCAUUCUUGAAGAUUUCGCUACUCAGGUCCAAACCUCUCACACUCUCUAUAUUUUUGUAAGAUUUUUCCAUUAAUGUAGAGUUGUUUUAUGCUUGUGAUUGGCGAAGAAAUUGGAAUUGAGAAUGGAAAAGAUAUUAUAAAGGGAUGUUUUGAAUUUGAUUGGUGAUUGUGCAGUGUAAAUGUGCUGAAACUCAAUGCUUUACUGUCAGUAUGUUUAUGUUUAUGUCUUUGUAUACUCAUUUCUUUGUUUCCUUUUUUCGGGUAGAGCUGUUGUUUUAUGUUUUCCUUCGUAGAAAAGUAUAACCGGAAAAGAUAUAAAGAAGAAAAGUUUUCAAUUUUCGAAUUGGUGAUUAUGGGUGGAAAUUUUUGAUACUUGAUGCUUUACUUUUUCUAUGAUUUUUCCUGUUUGAUCGUGAUGGAGGUAGAGAAGGCUUGAACUAUUGGGUUGGUGAAGUGCAAUAACAAAGUGUGGCAGUUCAUGUAUCAAAAGUUGUACCCAUCUUAGUCUGAUGAAAUGAAAUUGCACUGUAUUUUUUUUAUUUUGUUUUGUUUUGUGUGUGUAUUAAAUAAGGAAUUUGGUAGUUUGUCAUAUCGUGUUUUAGUUAUUAAGAGUAUUAGUCAGCAAGUGCAAGUUGGAAUUGGAAGGGAAAGAGAGCAAUAUAAUAAAGUGUUAAGUUUCAGUUAUUUUGGAAAGGGAAUUGCCAGAGAACCGAGAGAAUUGUUUCAAAUAAGUUCUUGAUUGUACAAAUGAGCCUGUACUGAGUGAUUGGUCCACAGCUAUAUUAAGCACCAUUGAAUUUUGUGAGUUUUAUUCUUAUAAUUCCUUUUAUUAAUGUUGAUUAGAUUACAAAAUAGUUUAGUUAUUUGCAGGUCUUUCGCACUGUUUUUAUUGUGGUUUAAUGUGAUUAUCCAUAAUUAAUGCAGAAAAUUAGGACUCUGGAGCUAGAUGGGAAGAUAAUUAAGUUUCAAAUUGUGAGUUAAUUUGACUUAAUGACUACUCCAUAGUUAUGAACAUGAGUUAAUUUGAUCUAAUGAAUACUGUAUCGUUGUGAAUUUAUAAAAACAUGUAUAUGAAUAUUAUUUUAGCUGUAUGUGCUAUUCCUUUAUGAUGGUUUUGCUACCUGUAAUAUGUGCUUCAUGCAAAUAAGUAUCAGAAAAAGAAAUCAAC